rnacentral:rRNA from 1 species
UAAUACGUAGGGGGCGAGCGUUGUCCGGAAUCAUUGGGCGUAAAGAGCUCGUAGGCGGUUCAGCAAGUCGUUUGUGAAAGUCCGAGGCUCAACCUCGGAAUUGCAGUCGAAACUGCUGUGACUCGAGUCCGGUAGAGGAGAAUGGAAUUCCCGGUGUAGCGGUGAAAUGCGCAGAUAUCGGGAGGAACACCAGUAGCGAAGGCGGUUCUCUGGGCCGGUACUGACGCUGAGGAGCGAAAGCGUGGGGAGCAAACAGGAUUAGAUACCCUGGUAGUCCACGCUGUAAACGUUGGACACUAGGUGUGGCGGUCUGAUCAACGACUGCCGUGCCGAAGCUAACGCAUUAAGUGUCCCGCCUGGGGAGUACGGCCGCAAGGCUA